rnacentral:lncRNA from 1 species
CAGGAUCACAGAAAAAGGUCUGUGGAAUGUUCUCUUACCUUCUAAAAUAUUAAUUUAGAGAACUUGCAAAUUUGCAGAUUUUCCCAGAAUGGAACUAACUGGAACUCUUCAUUUUACAGCUAUGGCUCACUGCCCCUCAGGGGGCAGGGGGCUGGUGAUUCCUGAGGGAGCCCUGCCCCCUUCCAGGGUGAAUUUUCCUAAGUCACCAUGGAGAACCAGCAGCCCAGAAUCAGUGCCCUGCCAGGCAGAAUUGCUUGGCCAUAACAAAGAUCCAUUGCCUUUCUGAUGACACCCAGCACCUCGGAUUCUGUAUACACGGGAGGUGAUUUAAGCAUCUUACUGCCACCCUGAAAUCUGGGGUCCUUUAUCCUGGCAGGUAAGACCCUUUUGUGUUUUCCCGACACUUACUUCGGAGACCGCCCCUCUAAGCAGAGGGCCAUGUCGCCUGCUGCGUGUUGCUGAAUGGAGGCCCUAAUGUGAAUGGAGACUAGCCUGCUGGUAGAGACCUUGGCAGUGACCGCUGUGGGCAAUGAGCCAUGGGCCAACAAUAUUCAAUGCUGUGUACCUGAUGGAUGGUUACUGUCUGAGACUGAGGCUUUUUGGGCCAGGAGUAAAAGGACUUGGUUUGUACUUGAUUGCGUCCUGUGGAUGCUUGCCUACCAACUGACUCAUCCUGACGUGCCAAAGGUCCUGGCUUUCCCCUGUGUGGGACCCCUGAUUUAAUUAUUUACUGUGGAACCAUUGUCCUGAGUCAGGAGGAUAGAUGAGGAAAGAAUGAGAGCGUGGCUGGCAUCGCUUCAUGAUUACAUUCUGGGAAAGAUCUUGCCUGUUAACCUCUAGAGAAGGAGGGACGAUACAGACAAUGAAGACUAUAGCAGACUGAAUUACUCUCUGAGAUGAGGACUUUGCUAUUGCCAUUGCAGGAGGUUCAUGCUGCCAUAUCCCCCUGUUUAACAAGUGUGGAAACUGAUUUGUAGGAACAAACCAUCCCAUAUGCAACCAGACAGCUCCAUUCUGUUUUCACCGGCCCUGUGAGAUCUACACACUCAGUUCUGGGUGAGAAGACACAGAAUGGACUCACAAUUGCUGAUGUAUAGGUUCUAAUGUUUUCUAUUGUGGACACGGGACACCCAGACUGAGAACCAAUGGCUCCAGUCUGAUUUAAACAUGGGUCCGUGCUCACACACUCAAUACCUACCCUCUGUGCUCACAAGUCCUGUGUGAGUAAGACUCCAAAUUAUUCUGUCUUGUUUUACUCAAUGGUAUGCUCUACCUUAUUAUAGAGUAUACCAUGUAUUGAGACAAGAAUGCCAGUCAUUCUGAGAAACAAAAUGCAACCAUUAGUUGUCAUUUUAAUUAGUGACGAAUAGUUGUGUCAAUCAUCAAACAUGCUUGUAUAAUUGGAUGAGAAGAGGUGUAACACGGGCCAAUGAUGACGAGGUUUCGGGAUUAUAAGUCACGGACGAUGACUACGUCACUAGAGGUCUGAGGUCCAUAGCAGAAGAUGCCUCAUGUGACCCUCUCAUGCAGGGGUUGCAUGUCAGGCAUGUGCAUACAGUAGAUAUUAGCCAUGCACUCUCACCAUUUCAUAGUAGAUCACAGAAUCAAGAUACAAAUCUCCAUGCACGGAAAGGAUUUAAGGCAUUGAUCAAUCCUGAACAUAAAUAUUUGGCCAUCAAUGAUAUUUACGCACACACUGAAAAA